rnacentral:lncRNA from 1 species
GGGGAUGCUCCCUGGAAGGCGCAGGCGUUUCCCGAUUUCCCGGCUGGGAAGAGGGGCAGCUCCAGGCUCCCUCUCCGGACCGGGAUGAGGAGCAAGGGCUGGAUUUGGGAUGUGGGAAUGGGGCAGAAAGGCGCGGCCGGGACUCGAGUUCCUCAGUGCAAUAAUGGAUUUGCCUGGAUCGGUGAUUCCAGGGACAGAGGGCUCCGGUCGCGACACCCGGAGACCGGGAAGAGCUCGGGGAAGGGGGAAAAGCCCCGCUGGUGCCGCCGGUGCCCGGGCACCCCUCGGUGCCCCAGAUCCCGCUUCUGCGGGAGCCGAGGAUGAGUUUUUCCAUCCCAAAGGCUCCCGGGAUGGAGAGGAGCCGGUUCGGGCGGGGGCUCUCCUGUCUCCCGGGGCUCGGGGUGCAGCAAUCCCGGAGGGCACGGCCAGGGAUCCACGCGGCUCCCCGGGCGGGGAUUCACGGCCUGCUGCGAUCCCUUUCCUUAUCCCUGCUGCGAUCCCUGUCCUGAUCCCUGUCCUUAUCCCUGCUGCGAUCCCUGUCCUGAUCCCUGUCCUUACCCCUGUCCUUAUCCCUGUCCUGAUCCCUGUCCUGAUCCCUGCCCUGAUCCCUGUCCUGAUCCCUGUCCUGAUCCCUGUCCUUACCCCUGUCCUUACCCCUGUCCUGAUCCCUGUCCUGAUCCCAGCCCUGAUCCCCGUCCUGAUCCCUGUCCCGAUCCCUGCUGCGAUCCCUUUCCUUAUCCCUGCUGCGAUCCCUGUCCUGAUCCCCGUCCUUAUCCCUUCCUGGAUCCAUCCCCUGAUCCCUGCCUGGAUCCAUCUCUGGAUCCAUCCCUGGAUCCCUGUCCCGAUCCCUGUCCCAAUCCCUGCCCUGAUCCCUGUCCUGAUCCCUGUCCUGAUCCCUGCCCUGAUCCCUGUCCUGAUCCCUGCCCUGAUCCCUGCCCGGAUCCAUCCCCUGAUCCAUCCCUGGAUCCAUUCCCGGAUCCCUGUCCCAAUCCCUUCCUGGAUCCAUCCCCUGAUCCCUGCCUGGAUCCAUCCCUGGAUCCACUCCCGGAUCCCUGUCCCGAUCCCUUCCUGGAUCCAUCCCCUGAUCCCUG